GCAAGCACUGCAGUUCUAAUGCCGUCCACCAGGCACAGGAAGUCAACACUGCACCACAGCUGGAAACACUCGGUUUGGAACGUGGUGUAACAAAGCCUCAGAGAACAGAAGAGGACACAGAAUAUCAAUGAGCAAUCCUGUUCUGCUAAAACACCUAAGUACCUCAUAGCCUUCAAAAGCAAAGGACUACAACAAGGAUGAGCUAUGGAUGAGAGAACAAAGAGCAGACUCCCACGCCUGGAGAAAUCCUGGACUCAGAGCAGCACUGCACCAGGCUAAAAUGCAGCAGAAAUCUGUUAAAGUGAUGAUUUUAGUAACGGAAUCUUCUUCCAUUUGAAAAGGAAUGUAACUCCAGGAAUUUUCCAGCUGAACGAUGCAGAGAGGCUACAGUGCCAGAAGAAUCUGAAUCAGCUCCAGCUGAUGACUAAAGGAACCUACAAGGACCUUGCUUAGAAGGAGCAGGAGUGCUCUGCAAGCACACAGAUCAAUAACGGAUGAGAGAUUCUUGGUCACAACAGACACUUGUAAUAGAGAACAGCUGGUCAUGUAAGAGAGACCCUAAAAAAUUAUACUGAUUAUGCACUUAGUUCUCUACAAUGUGUUUCUUGGAAAUAUUUCACAGGCACCAUAUUAGCUUGUAUAGUUGGAAUUAGAGGGACUUUGUAGAGAGGAAAAGUUCAGAUAAAAAGGAAGGGUAUAAACAUUAUUGGGAAUGCAAGGAUUACUCUCUGUGUGUGCAGAGAGGAUGGGCUCAGGAUGGGUUCCAUCUUAACUACAGCAGACCCUGGCUCUGCUACUGAAAAGUAAUAAAGUUUGGAGGAGAUUUUCUUAAAUUCAGAGCUAAGGAAAUCUGGCAGGUGCUGAGGAGUGCUCAAGUCAGACAAAGACAUCUGCUAGGGAUGUCAGCAACAGAGAGAUAACUGUUAUCUGGGAGCAGAGGAUAGGACAGAAAAUUCAGCUGGAGCAAAGCUAAGACACAUCAAAAUGCAGAAAUAAAUUCUGAAAUAUAACAGGGCUUCUGACACAGAAUUUCAAUAAAAUUAGGCUGUGUGCCAAGACUAAAAAAUCAUCAUGUAUAUACACGUCAUU